rnacentral:rRNA from 1 species
UACAGAGGGUGCGAGCGUUGUUCGGAAUUAUUGGGCGUAAAGGGCGCGUAGGCGGCGCCACAAGUCACUUGUGAAAACUCUGGGCUCAACUCAGAGCCUGCAAGCGAAACUGUGGUGCUGGAGUAUGGGAGAGGUGCGUGGAAUUCCCGGUGUAGCGGUGAAAUGCGUAGAUAUCGGGAGGAACGCCUGUGGCGAAAGCGGCGCACUGGACCAUAACUGACGCUGAGGCGCGAAAGCUAGGGGAGCAAACAGG